rnacentral:rRNA from 1 species
GAUCCUGGCUCAGGACGAACGCUGGCGGCGUGCUUAACACAUGCAAGUCGAACGAGAGGACAAGAGAAGCUUGCUUCUUUGGAAUCGAGUGGCAAACGGGUGAGUAACACGUAAACAACCUGCCUUCAGGAUGGGGACAACAGACGGAAACGACUGCUAAUACCGAAUACGCUUGGGAGACCGCAUGAUCUACCAAGGAAAGGUGGCCUCUACCUGUAAGCUAUCGCCUGAAGAGGGUUUNCGU